ACCCUACAAGGCAACUAGGGGCAGCAGAGCUACACACGUGGCAAGGUGAACCACGUAGGUGUGGAGACUACUUAGGAGGCUCCAGAUAUAGUGCUCGGUAUGUUCCUCGUCAACCCAGCCCCCGCAUUAGUUUUAUUCGAUUCUGGAGCAUCGCAUUCUUUCAUUACCUCUCAUUAUGUGGCCAAGCACAAUCUUACCAUCUACGCCAUGAAGCAUCAUAUGUUAGUUAGUUCAACAGGGGGGUAGAUGAAAGCAUCAUAUAUGUGUCCUAAGGUUGAUCUUAAGAUUAUGGGAGUUGACUUUUUGGCAAGGUUGAUAGUCCUAGACUUAAAGAGGAUUGAUGUUAUUCUGGGCAUGAGUUGGUUGAGUAUGCAUGGUGCAAUCAUUUAGUGUGCCAAGAGGUCAGUUCUCCUGACAAGUCUUGAUGGAGAGAAGGUUGAGUUUGUGGCUACCCUACCAUCAGUAGCAGAUUGCAAGGUGAAUUAGUUGGCUAGGAAAUCUUUAGAAGAUAUCAAAGUGGUGUGUGAUUAUCUAGAUGUGUUCCCCGAUGAGUUACCAGGUAUGCCACCUAACCGUGAUAUUAAAUUUGCUAUUGAUCUUUUACCUGGUACUACACCUAUUUCCAAACGACCAUAUAGAAUGUCUGUUGAUCUGCUAAAAGAAUUAAAGCAACAACUAGAGGAAUUAUCGGAAAAAUAGUUUAUUCACCCUAGUUCAUCACCAUGGGGACCACCGGUUAUUUUUGUACCAAAGAAGGAUGGUACGCAGAGGAUGUGUGUGGACUACAGAUCACUCAAUGAGGUAACUAUCAAGAACAAGUAUCCAUUGCCCCGCAUUGAGGAUUUGUUUGAUUAGAUGAGAGGAGCCAAGGUAUUCUCCAAGAUUGACUUGCGUUCGGGUUAUCAUCAGAUGAAGAUCAAGCCAUCUGACAUUCCCAAGACUGCUUUCACCACUAGAUAUGGUCUUUAUGAGUAUACAGUUAUGUCUUUUGGGUUGACAAACGCACUAGCUUACUUUAUGUAUCUAAUGAACAAGGUAUAAAUGGAGUAUCUUGAUAAGUUCGUGGUGGUGUUUAUUGAUGUCGGCCUUUAUAAAAGUUAUAGCCCACAUCUUGAACUCCAACUUUUAUUUUUGGAAAUGCAAGCACAAAGAUCAAACUUGGUGAGAAAACACACGUUAAACAUGACACCUUUGCAUGACAUGCAUCACAAGCAUCUUUGUGCAUAAUUAAGCAUCAUUAAUAUCAUUUGUGCAUAGUUGAGCAUCAUUUGUGCAUAAAUGAAUGUUUUUUCCAUGCAUUGUUAAGUGCCCAGAAUUUUGUUAUUUAUAGGUGAAAAAUCAAAUUUGUGAAGGAACUCCAAUUUCUUCCAUACAACUAUACCCCUAAAUAUUUUAUUUAAAUACUAGACAUCAUUUAGUGAUUUUACAAUAUUUUUACCAAAAUUUUUAGAGAUGUUUUAUUGUGCCAAAAAUUAAUUUAAAGUUCAAUUUUAGCUAUUUUGUUUUAUCAAUUGUGUGCAGACAUAGCAGAUUUGGAGUUUAUUCUUGUGGCAAUAGAUUCUUCAUGAUUUUAUCUUUCCAACGAGUAUUUUUAAGGAAUUUUCGGACAUCUGUUGUAGCUAGGUUGUUUAGGAGCAAAGUUUAAUGGCUGAAAAAUCCACGGACCCACAUGGCAGUCGCCCCAUCUUCAACCUCAUGCCACCUACACACCCGUCACUCGUACGCAGCACGAGGAUCAUCGGAUUGGCCCCUCCUGCCUGCAGGGCUCCUCCUCCGCCCAUAGGCCAGCCGAGCAUCCUCCGACGUGCCUCCCCCGCCGCGCCACGCCUCUCUUCGCGCUCGGUUGGGCAGGAGCCCGCUCGAACGGCAUGGGCACAAGUGGUCGUCGAACUCCGGUGCUGCCCCUCACCGCCAAUGUUCGUGCCCGGUGCUGUGUCACCUCGCCAUCCUUAUCUCCUCGCCUCUCCCAGGCUAUAAAACGACCCCUUCCCAAGCCUCCAGCCCCUCCAAACCGAGCUUCUCCUCCAUUGAUGAGCUCCCGAGCUCGUCUCGAUUCGUCGUCGAUUCCUCCCAUCUCCCUCCGUCUCCCUUCGAUUCCUCUCACCCAAAGUUUCAUCACUUCCCCAGCUACACCCUUAGCCCCUCCUCUCCCUCAAUCGUCCACCGAAUCGAUGGGAAUUGAAGUUCCCUCAAAGUUACAAAAACUUUCAACCGAUGGCUCAACCCCACCAUGGCGCCCCACCCUCUGGUUGUCCUCGUCCUCAAACAAGUACUCAAAUGGAACCUAGGUGAGCUCCUAACCGUGAUGCUCGUGUUCGUUUUCCAUUUGCAUCGAGUUUCCAUGGGCGUUCCUGCCGUCAUCGCGCGUUCGCGCCGCUGUCCUAGAGCCCUCCUGUGUGCCUGCUCCCCCCAAUGCUGGUCUCGCUGGCGAGUCUCCUGGCCCCAAGGUGCCGCCCUUCUCCCUCCACUAGCAGCGCCCUUCCUUCCCCCUGCCAUGCGCUGGCCCAAGUGUUGUACCGUGCCUGUGAUUUGUGUUGUGCGUGAUGUUCUGGUAGGGAGGUUAAAGAAAGGGCCUAGGGACCCGAUUGCUUUUGGGAAAGAAAGUAUAGGGGGUCCUGCAUAAAGUCUCAGGUUUAUGUUUAAGUGGGAUUGUUUCCAGGGGCUAGAUAGCAAAACGCAGGGGGUAGAACGUUAAGGAAAGGGCAGAUCCGUGAGGGGAAAAUGUUUUCUUGGGGCUAGCUUGCAAAUAGUUUCGGACUGGUUUUAAAAUGGCUAGUUUUGAAAAUGUUGACAACUUUGAAAAUGCAUAGAACCUAGUAGAAAAAUGAUAAAAAUGUGAUUCUUGUUACAUUGAAUUCCUUAUGAAGUCUAGUUUAUUUUAGAGCUGAGUAUGUGCAAUAUGCUGCCAUGUAUUUUGUGCUAUGUUUUUAUUUUGUGUGAAGGCCAUUAAAUGCAUUAGAAAACACCUAGUGCUCUAAAAAUGGUGAAAUCACUUUUGUUAGUUCACUUGUGGCAUGCAUGUUCAAGAUCUAAAAGUUGUGCUACUAGAUUAGAUGGUUUUCAUACUGUUUUAGAUUUAAAAUGCUUGUUGCCAUCUUCAUAUUGCUAAGUGCAUGAUAAAUAGUGAAAAAUUGGUAAAAUGAUGAAACAACUUUUGUUAACCUUUGUGUUACAUCUAGAAUCUAGGAAAAAUGUUGUGGGUACUUUUAUGGUUGAAUUACAUGCCUUUUUAGAUUUAAUAUGUUAAAUGGUAGUUUAACUUGUUUAAGCUAUAGCUACAGAUUAAAAAUUGAUUUUGAAAUGAAUCCAUCUCACAUAGUUUUGUGUUGCUGUCUCCUGCUAGUGAGAUUUAUUUCAUGUUUAUUUCUCAACAAAAGACUUGAAUUUUACAAAUUCGUGCUUGUUUAGCUUAUUGUGCAAAAUGGUUUCUUUCGUCGUUCUUAUGUGAUUUCAUAUUGUUGUUAGGAAGGUUGUUUUGUUACUCGGUGAUUUCUUACCGUUUCUUUUAUCAUUCAAUGCAUUUCAUGAGCAUUUGCACUCAUAGCAUCAUCCCUAAUGCAUGCACGCAUUUCAUUCUGUUAGAGAGCAUAUUGUCGGAGAACAUAAACCUUGAGCCAAGGUCGGCAUAAAAAAAUCAAGCCUGAACCCAAAAAUAAGUAAGGCCAACCACUUAGCUUCUAGUCGCUUACUGUUUAAAAUGAAAGCGUAACUAGGCGUCACUAUAGGUUUCUUUUAAGUUAUCUUAGCACUUUAGUAGAACCUAUGUUUUACUGUGAUGACCUUCCUAGCCUUGCUGUCAUACCUUGUCACUCGAGUAGUGUUAGUUAGUAACUUAAUCUUGCAAAUUUACUUAGUCCUGGUUAGUCAUAAAACGACCACUGGAUAAAAAGAAAUGGCAGCAGGAUAAUCAACACUUUUUCUAAUAAGAUUCUUCCUUAAUGUGGUUUAAUAAACUUAAAAUAUAAUAAAUAGUUAACAUGCUCAAUAAAUGUUGGAAAAUUUGGAGUAGCCUCUGUUAAGACUUGGGAACCUUAUGUAGAAUCUGUAAAUUCAGAUUGUCCCUGAAACCUGAGUUAAAAAUAGAUCUUUACAAUCUGCCAUUGGAUACUGUUUGAAUUUUAAUAAUUUUGGUAGAAGUCCAAUGAGUCCCAAAUUUUUACAGUAACUCACUGAUGACUUUAAGAAGCCUCUUAAACAUUUUCAGCCCCAGGUCACACUUUAUGCAACCAAAAACACUUUUAAAGUGAAAGCUAGUUAAAUGGAAUAAAAACCAAUAUUAAAUAAAAAGGGUAAGAUAAGCAAUGCUAAUCUAAGUUGUUUAAUAAUUCAAAAAUAGGAUAACUUUCCAAAUGAAUGCCAAGCAACACUAAAAUAACCACCACCUUUCUUUUAUAGUUUUGAAGUUAUUGAAAUCCUAUAUCUGUACACAAUCACCGUCCAAGUAAAGCACGACUUUUAAUCACAUCCCACCUUGCUUUACAAGAAAAGACAUAGUUAUAACCUUGUCUAGUUAAGUGUGUCUAAGAGGAAAGAAAUGUUUAAAAUCUUAUCUAAAUAAAUGUGUUCCAUAAUACACCCUAUGCUUGUACCAUAAUUAACAAAAUGCAAUCUACACAUAAAAGCAUGUAACUAAAAUCUUGCAUUUGCAUCUCGUGUAGAGCUAACCGCGCUGAUGGAACGUACGAGCUCGAUCGGAACACGAAGCAAGAGGGUGUUUGCUGAGCUAGACAUAAUCGUGACAAAUCAAGGCUCGAACCAUAGUUCGGAAGAGCCCAAGGCUGGGUUAGGGCAAGAAGGCAAGUCCCAGAGCAUAACCCAAUUUUCUAAAUUUACGCACUGCUUAUGAUUACUUAUGUUUGUGCAUUUAAGUUCAUAGGAGUUGCUUGAAACCCUAGUUGCAUGAUCCUAGGUACCUAUGUGCUGAAGACUAGUACGUUAAGUCAUUUAGUUGCUAUGCUAAAUAGGAACACGAUAAAAGUCGAGUGAUUUCUUGUCACUCGCGAGCUAUAGGAAUUGCCUGUUUACUUAUGUUGGAAUCAUAAGGAUUGACGGGCGGGGCUGGUCUAUAUGAUUCUGAAUUGGUGGAUUAUCCUUUUUGUCUAGUGGAAAAAUAUGCUAAGGUCGAACCAUGACAGUGAUUGUUGUGGUCAAGUGUUUGAAAGUACUAAUCUCAUACCUAGUAUGGGAUGGGGAAGUCUAGUACCUGAUUGAACUGGGACGUGGGCGUACCUCCCCACUAUCUCUGGAACUUGGUUCCCCUGCUGCAGCAUGUGGGUACAAGUGCAGUCACGGUACGACGAUGUUCCGGGACCGUGGGGCAUUGUAUCCAAGGGAAGUGAGCCCGACCACGUGCCUGUGGAUUGAUGGGGACGACUGACAAAUGAAGCAACCCGUCAUGGUGCGCGGAUGUCGUGAGGUUAGGUUCACCUUGCAAGGUUUAAAAACUCGAUUUGAAUCGUCUGUCUCUCACAGUUUGAGACUGCUUGGUCACUAUGUUGCACUGAGUAAGAAGUGAAACAAAGGAUGAUGAAUAAUACUGAUGCUUGAUUAAAUUGCUUGUUCACAUGCUUGCUUAGAAUAGGUACUUACCUAGACUGGUUAAUCAACUAGAACCUGAUGCUAAAAUUUGAAAGUAAGGACCUACUUUAGAUACUUUCAGCAAAACAAACCUCUCGGCCAAAAAGCCUUGCAUGUCUAGGAGUCGGUGGAGUAGUUACCACCUGACGGAUAAGCCUUGUUGAGUAUUAGUAUACUCAGCCUUGCUUGUGGCUACCUUUUUCAGGUGUUGUUGUUUGCUUGGUUGCUAGUGUGACUCGACCGUCUCAAC
rnacentral:lncRNA from 1 species